UUAAAUCAGUUAUCGUUUAUUUGAUAGUACCUUACUACUUGGAUAACCGUGGUAAUUCUAGAGCUAAUACAUGCUAAAAACCCCGACUUCGGGAGGGGUGUAUUUAUUAGAUAAAAAACCAAUGCCCUUCGGGGCUCCUUGGUGAAUCAUAAUAACUUAACGGAUCGCAUGGCCUUGCGCCGGCGACGGUUCAUUCAAAUUUCUGCCCUAUCAACUUUCGAUUGUAGGGUAUUGGCCUACAAUGGUAUCAACGGGUAACGGGGAAUUAGGGUUCGAUUCCGGAGAGGGAGCCUGAGAAACGGCUACCACAUCCAAGGAAGGCAGCAGGCGCGCAAAUUACCCAAUCCCGACACGGGGAGGUAGUGACAAUAAAUACUGAUACAGGGCUCUUUUGGGUCUUGUAAUUGGAAUGAGUACAAUUUAAAUCCCUUAACGAGGAACAAUUGGAGGGCAAGUCUGGUGCCAGCAGCCGCGGUAAUUCCAGCUCCAAUAGCGUAUAUUAAAGUUGUUGCAGUUAAAAAGCUCGUAGUUGAACCUUGGGUCUGGCUGGCCGGUCCGCCUCACCGCGUGCACUGGUCCGGCCGGACCUUUCCUUCUGGAGAACCGCAUGCCCUUCACUGGGUGUGCCGGGGAACCAGGACUUUUACUUUGAAAAAAUUAGAGUGUUCAAAGCAGGCCUUUGCUCGAAUACAUUAGCAUGGAAUAAUAGAAUAGGACGUGCGGUCCUAUUUUGUUGGUUUCUAGGACCGCCGUAAUGAUUAAUAGGGAUAGUCGGGGGCAUCAGUAUUCAAUUGUCAGAGGUGAAAUUCUUAGAUUUAUUGAAGACUAACUACUGCGAAAGCAUUUGCCAAGGAUGUUUUCAUUAAUCAGUGAACGAAAGUUAGGGGAUCGAAGACGAUCAGAUACCGUCGUAGUCUUAACCGUAAACUAUGCCGACUAGGGAUCGGGCGAUGUUAUUCUUUUGACUCGCUCGGCACCUUACGAGAAAUCA
rnacentral:rRNA from 1 species